UACAGAGGUCCCAAGCGUUGUUCGGAUUUACUGGGCGUAAAGGGUGCGUAGGUGGCUAGGUAAGUCUGACGUGAAAUCCCACAGCUUAACUGUGGAACUGCGUCGGAUACUAUCAAGCUAGAGGUAUGGAGGGGAGACUGGAAUUCCUGGUGUAGCGGUGGAAUGCGCAGAUAUCAGGAGGAACACCGGUGGCGAAGGCGGGUCUCUGGGCAGUAACUGACGCUGAGGAGCGAAAGCGUGGGGAGCGAACAGG
rnacentral:rRNA from 1 species